rnacentral:rRNA from 1 species
AACGAACGUUAGCGGCGCGCUUAACACAUGCAAGUCGAGCGAGAAAGGGCUUCGGCCCCGGUAUAGCGGCGCACGGGUGAGUAACACGUAGGUAACCUACCCUCGAGUGGUGGAUAACUCUCCGAAAGGAGAGCUAAUACAGCAUAAGACCACGCUUCCGAAAGGAAUUGAGGUCAAAGCAGGCCUCUGCAUGCAAGCCUGCGCUUGAGGAUGGGCCUGCGGCCCAUCAGCUAGUUGGUGGUGUAAAAGACCACCAAGGCUAAGACGGGUAGCUGGUCUGAGAGGAUGAACAGCCACACUGGAACUGAGACACGGUCCAGACUCCUACGGGAGGCAGCAGUGGGGGAAUC